AACACGAGCCCAAAUUCAUCGCGCUCAAUUUGGUUAUCCAAUCAGAUCCGGUGAGCCCAAUAAUUGGUUCCAAUUCCGACCCAAUAAAAAAAUAAUAAAAACUUAUCUUUUUCCUAGCAGCGCCCAAAAUUUUCAUUUUUUUACCCCCAAAAUAUAGCGCCUCCCCGUCUGAAAAAUUAAUCUUUAAAAAAAAAAAAUUUCCACCGGACGACGGCUCGAGUGUUUUCUCUCUCCUCGGAAUCGAUCGAUUCGCAAUAAAAUUGAGAUUGGAUCCAAUCUGAUCGAGCAAUGGCGAAACCCUUGGUUACGGAGAGAACUAGGGUUUGGCUUUUCGUCUUCUGAUUGGUCCUCGAUUAGGGUUUUUCUUUAUCCGUUCCUUUUCCACUCAUUGAUCUUCGAUCAAUCCAAUUUUGAUGCUGGAGCUUCUGGAUAUCUCGCUGCAGUCGUCACAUUUGUUUGGUGCGCUUGGAGGUCUGGAUUUGGAUUGGUUUAAGCGGGAAGCAGGUUGUGAUAAUUGGAAUUGGGGUAUUGAUUUGAUCUUUGAAUUGGCUUUGUAUGAUUUCUGGUCGUUUUUGUGAAGUUAGAGUUUGAGCUGAGUAGUUGCUAGUGUUCGAGGUUUGGUGACUGAGGUUUUGUUAUUCAAUGCUUCAAUAGCUUAAGCUUAGUAAUGUCCUAUGUGUAUUUGUUUUGAAUGAUUUUACUAAAAUUCACCAACUAUAUGUAGCACUGACAUUAACAAUGUAUUAUUGCAUUCUGCAUUUGAUUUCAUUAUGUGGGAAGGGGAUGCUAUUAUGAAUAUUUAAGAGUUCCACGUAAAUUUGGACGUGGGUUCUUAUGAUUGAUUCAGUUUAAUAUGGCGGGGAGCAUGAGAGCUGAAUUGGCUUCGAGCAGUCUCAAUGGAAUAAGCUUUGCUUCUGUCCAUCCAAAUGGGCAGCGGGGAAAUUACUCUACCUCGAAUUUGGAUAGGUCUGGGAGUUCUCGUGAGAGUAUAGAGAAUCGAAUGAUGGUUUCCGGGCAAAUAGGAUCAAGAAAUGCUGAAACUGUUCCAGUUUCUCAGUAUAUGUCACUAGAGCCUUUCCCCAUUAAUGGGCUGAGGAACGUUCGAUCGGGGGAGUUGAGGAGAGUUCUUGGAAUUUCUGUUGAGGACCAUCCAUUUGGAUCCUUGCAAUCAAAGCCCCUUCCCCCUGUAUCCUGGGAUGAGCUUAAACGAUUCAGAAGAUGCAUUGAUGAGAAUCAUUCGAGGGCAGAAGAGAGGUCAGAAUUACUGCAAAAUUCUAUAGUGAAACUGGAUAAGCUUCGCAACAUUGUCAUGAAGAAGAGACAACGGACUGAUAUGCAAUCAAACGAGAAGUCGAGUAAUUCGAGUCUAUUGAAGGUAGGGAAUCAGAUGCACCAAAAUCCUUCUGAUCUUGAAGAUCAAAGACCGGAAGAAAGGACAAAAUCUGGUAAUCUUAGUGAGCGGGUACGCUCAUCGAUGGCAGAUGCUCGGGUGUCUUUACCUUAUUCUCUUCAACAAGAGGGCCGCAACACUAUUGCUGUGAGACAAGGCACGUUGAUCGACAAGGAUAAAAUCAUCCAUGUUGACAAGGAUAAAAGUAUGCUGAGGGCUUGCAAUGGGUUUCCGGUGUCCGCUGAUGACAAGAUGCAUGGUCUGGCCGCUGGAGGGGAAGGAUGGGACAAAAGGAAUAAACGAAAACGUUCUGUUGGUACAAUGGUUUACAGAACUAGUCUAGAUGGUGAUCGUGAAAUCAAAAAGGCAAUUCAACAAAAGCCGAGUAAUGAACCCCGUCCACGAUCUGGUGAUGGUCUUGGCUUCAGGACUGGAUUAUCUAAUGGAAUCAUCGGAAGUAAUAAGAUGGAUGAAAUCUCUCAAAUGACUGGCCAUGGUUCCCGCAUCAUGCCAAGAAAUGACUCGGGCAAUGGGCGUCUUUCGAGUGAUAGAAAGGAAUACUCCUCUGUGCUUGAUAAGGAGCAAGUCACUGCUAAAGGGAGCAAAAAGCUGAAUAUCUGUGAGGAUGCUCAAGUAGGAAGUCAGCGUCCUUCAGCGAAAGGAAAAGCUGUCAGAGCUCCAAGAAGUGGUUCAAGUAUUGUAAUAAACAUGCCUAAUCUUCCCUGUCCUCCAGAGGAUGGAUCGGAGCAGCCUUCUUGCUCGAACAAAGUCCAGUCCUUUUCUGGUUCAAGUAAUCGUAAACGACCUCUAUCAGCAGGAUCUUCUUCACCUCCUGUAGCUGCUAGGUGGGGAGGUCAACGCAGGGAAAAGAUCUCUCGAACUAGAAGAGCAAAUGUAGUUUCUCCAGUGUCAAAUAUUGACGACUCUGAGGCUGAGGGCUCUGCAGGUCUCGACUUUGUAGCCAGGUUAUCAAAUAUAGACUCCCGAGGGGUAUUGGUCAGCAGGGGCAUACCAAAUGACACCCUUUUAAACAUAAAACUAGAAAAUGUACCAUCUCCUUCUACCCCAUCUGAAAGUGAGGAAUCUGUUGCCGUUGAGAGCAAGUCCAAAGAGAGAGGACAUGACAAUGGUGAAUUCGAGGAUGGGGCACUAAAUGCAUAUCAUAAAGCUGCAACUUUUGUUUUGACUAGAAAAAAGAACAAGGUCCCUCCUAGAGAAGAAAUUGGAGAUGGAGUUCGGAGGCAAGUCCGAAGUGGAAGAGGUUCAAUACAGUCAAAAGCUUGUUUACAAUCAAGCAACGGAAAGCUGGAAAGCUCAGAAAGUGCCAAGCCACUCAAAAGUGGGAGGCUUGUUUCUGAUAAGAGUGAAAGACUGUGCAGUAGGAUUGGCCGUCCUCCCUCAAAGAAGAUAUCAGAUCGCAAGAUUUCUGCACGUCCUCUGCCAAUUAUAAACAAUGGCUCCUCAAAAUUUACUGGCGAAUGUAAUGAUGAUCUUGAAGAAUUAUUAGCAGCUGCGAAAUAUGUCCGAGAUGCCUACUGGUUACAAAAGUCUGGGCCAUUUUGGGCGAAAGUGGAACCAAUAUUUGCUUCAGUCAGUUCAGAGGAUUCUUCCCUCCUGAGGCAUCAGAUAAAUUUUGCUGAGGAGCUUGACAGAAGUUUCUCUAAUAUGUUUGACAUUAGCUAUAAUGUGGUAGAGGAUAUGUACCAAGUGGUGCCACAUGACAUGUCUCAACCAGCCAGCCAAACAAAUUUUGUUGGACUGACCAAGUCUGAAGGAACUAGGCGUUCAGCUGACGAGUCCCGACCAGUUAAAGCCACACCUGGAGAAAUAGACACAGAGAGAUGGUUUGAGAGAGUGAUUCCUCUAUCACAGAGGCUUCUUUCUGCCUUAAUUUCGGAGGAAGGAACCAAUAUGGCUGACUGCAAUUCUAAACAAGAAGAUACAUUUUUGCAGUUCUCAAGUGAUUGUUGCCCCUAUGAAAUAGCUAGCUUUGGGGAAAACAAGCCUGGGUAUGAUCUUACUAAAUGCGGUUCGGAGUUUGACAAUGAUUUGCGGAGCCAGACAAACUGCUAUGGAGAUAAUACAUCUUGCAACGGGUUUGUAUCUCCCAGCACCACCUUUAGGAGCCUGAGCAACUUUAUAUCUGAAAACGAGCUGUUUCAAGAUAAGAAUGAGCUGGUGCAUCCAGAUAAUGAAGGUGUAAUCUCUCUCUGUAAAUUCGAGCAAGAUAACUUGAAGCAGCAAGAAAUCAUGGAUACAAGUUUACCAGGCAUGUCUUCACAUCAAUGCCAAUAUGUGCACAUGUCUUUGGAUGACAAGAUCUUGAUGGAACUCCACAGCAUAGGCAUAUAUCCGGAUGCUGAGCCUGAUCUUGCUAAGGGAAGUAGUCAUGAGAUUGAUAAAGCUGUUUCAGAACUCAAGAUCAGGCUUUACCAACAGGUGCAAAACACUAAAAAUCAGUUAUGCAAAUUGGAGAAAGUGAUUCAGGAACAGAAGGAAAGUGAGAUGAGGAACCUUGAACGGCUUGCCAUGGACCAACUUGUUAUCUUGGCUCAUGGAAAACUUGUGGGUGGUCGGGGAACUCGUGGUUCGGGCCCUAAAAGUGGUGCUAACAAGAUUUCUAAACAACUUGCUGAUGCCUUUGCGAAGCGAAUUCUUACCAUAUGCAAGAAAUUUGAGGAAACAGGUCAAAGUUACUUCAGUGAACUUCCCUUAAGGGAUGUGCUAUUGUCUAAACCUGUGCUCAACAUUGACAACAAAAGUGUUCAUGGCCUGACCACUGAGACAACACCCAGUAUGAAUGUAGAUUCACUUAGCUCUCAAGUUGGUUCUUGUGUAUCUGCUUCUGGUGUCUCAUCCAAUAUGAUUGAGAGACAUGGGCCCAUUCAUAAGAUUGACAAAAGUCAAUUGGAUCCAUAUUAUGGUCUCACUCAACCUUCUGAACAAGUUUUUGUUAGAAAUGACAAUAUGUCAAACAGAGGGAAGAAGAAUGAGGUACUACUUGAUGAUGUUGUUAUAGGUGUGUCGGGUUCGAAAGCCAUGCCAGCUGUUAAUGCUCUUCCAGGCGGUGUGAAAUUGAAGAAAACUGAUAAGGAUCAAAAUGGAGAUAUGUUAAUAAAGAACUCUCCUCCAAAAGGUAGCCAUUCAACAUUAAGCAUUGCCAAGGGUGAGCGUAAGACGAAAGCGAAGCCGAAGCAAAAGAUAGCACAGUUAUCAAAUUCUGGGAAUGGCCUUGGCAGAGUAAUGGAAACAACCAAUAGGUUGCAUUCUAUGCGGGAAUCUUGUGAAAAUGUAAAUGCUGGCAACACCAAAAUGAAAACAGAAGUGGAAUUGGCUCCAUCGCCUAAGGCUCAGGAUUUAUCGAAGGUGACAGAAGAUAAUACAUUCACAAACAUUCCUCUGCAGGGGAUAGACUCCAUUAAUGAGUUAGAUGUAGCUGAGGGGCUGGGGGAACAAGGUCAAGAUAUUGGUUCCUGGUUGAAUGUCGAUGAUGAUGCACUACUGGACAUGGAUCUAGUGGGCCUAGAAAUUCCCAUGGAUAACCUUUCAGAUUUGAAUUUUUAAGGAGACAACUAUAUCUUUUGUGCAUAUUCCAGAGUCUAAAUCAAUGUGCUUGUAGUUUUGCCAUGAUACAAACUAACUACCCAAACAUCUACGUGAAGCAGACUAGAAAUUGUAACUAGUUAGAUGUGCAGUCUGAUGUCCAUUGGCAGUUCCUUAGUUUAAUGGGGAUCACAAAGUAGCCUGAAGCAGGCGUGAAGUAACCUGGAGCAAGCGUAAGGAAAUUGUUCACAUCCAAAACUAGAUAGUUGAAAUGUUAGACAAUAUCUGCCUGAUAUGAUUUUGAUGUUAUGGUGGGUUAUCUGUAGAUGCAGCCCCUGUACUAUGGAGGUGUAGCUACUUGUCACCUCUGUUCUAUUCUAUUAACACAUAUCCGCUGACCCUCAUGAUAGCAUGAUCUUCCCAUUAUGUCUUUUAAUUCACGGGAAUCAUGUAAUGGUCAGAGUUGAAUUUUUGCCAAGAAUAUGCCCUAUUGUGAAAUGUGAAUAUGAGCUUACUUGUACUUGUAUCAGAAGAAGCCCCAGGUACAUGUAUGGUAAAGUGGAAAGACGUAGACAGAGUGUUCUUCUGAUUGUAGUGCCUUAGCUUUGGGAGAAUGCAUUUGCACUAUGCAAUGACCAGUGUUUAUGUAUCAGAUGCAUUCUGAAGUUGAUUAUGGAGUAGGAGGGUGACUUCUGUCCGAGUCGUUCAUUUCAGGCAUUGAGCAAGAGGUACUGCAGCGUUACUGCCUUAUACGUAAUUUGGCGUAUUGCCUAAGAGAAACUUCAAUAUUCAUAUUUCUCUCCCUCCAGUAGUGUUACGAAGAGUUACUACCCGAGAGAAACAUGCAUGCGUUUCUUUUUUCUUUUUUCUUUUUUCUUUUUAAAUUAUUCUGUAGAAUAUUGUGUAUUUUCUUCUAAUCUCUUCAUGUCUCUCCUCUCAAUAGGUGUGUGUGUGUGUGUGUGUAUAUAUAACUACAUUUAUCCUUUCAGUAUUCUUACCAUCUUAUCAUUUGUAGAUUUGAAAUUUUAGAGGAAGAAAAAAAAUGGUGCUAAAGGGAUGAGCAUUUUUUUGUCGUUGAUUGUUAUGAGACCUGAAAUAAGCGUACGGUUUGUUGUAAUACA